AGAGCGGCUGUCCAACAGACCAAUAAUUGGGCAGAGUUAUAGGACGUCUCUGCUCAACAAACCAAUCAGUGAGCCCUGUUGAGUAGGCGGCAAUGAUGUCACCUAAGUUUACAAUUUUCUGCUGAAAGUGGAGUAGAUUGACCUGCACACCACUCGCGAAGAUGAAUUGGUCUACCAAUUCCGAUAAAGUUUUCCCGAUUAACCAGUCAAAACUUCUCGUCAAAAGUAAACAUUUAGGAGGAUGUCACUCCGCUGCAUCACACUCGGGAAUGCUAUGCUGUAAAGAUCACUGGUGAGAAUGGAAGGUGAUGUGGAUCAUGAGUGCACCAUUUGUUCACUUUGAAAUCAAAUCUUACCCGUCAUAUGAAGCUACAUGAUGAACACGAGAACUGAAGAAUGAUGUUUGUUGUCCCCACUUGAAGUGAUAAAAGCAGCUCCUCGAGUUUGUCUACUAAUUUCCUGCUGUGAAAAUUGAUCUUGAUAACCGCUUGAAAGUAAGACAUGAAUAAUGCCAAUAAGAACAACCCUUCAGUAAUUGAUAGUCAACACUAUUUCUCAGCAUCCGUGAAGCACAAAGAGAAACAAGAACCACUGACAGACCUGGACCCAGAUUACAUUGAAGAUGCUGAACUGUUGGCUCUUGCAGAUGUGCACUUCAGGCCCUACAACACUGUUCUGCUUGUUAUCUCAUAAAAACCUACAGGCACAGGUCACAGAUGCUGUUUCUUAACUAUGCAAGUUUUUAAGUAGUAGCAGUUGCGAUAUUGUCGUUAGUUGCGUAGUACAUUUUUGUUUUCCAUGGUAAUUUAACUUUGAAUGAAGCUCAUUGCCGUUAAUGCGUGUGUUGCUCAUUGGUAAUUAACAUAAUUAAAAGUUCACCCGUUAAUUUUUCACAUCAUCACCAUAAUUCUCAUCGAACAUCUCUUUACUUAAAAUGUGUAUAAAUUAUAUACUGGCACUGUAUUAUGGCCACGAUGGGUCCCCAAGGGCCUACUAGCUGCAAUUUCUAAUUUUAAAUUCCAAACUUGGAAUCAUAACAAUGACAUAACAAUUCAAAAAAAUAAAUAAAACAGUGAGUCAAUUUCCAGUUAAAUUGAAAUUAUUCUACAUAAAUGUAUUUUAAUGAAAUUUAAGUUUACUGCAGUUACUUCUAUAUUGUUGUUUCUGAUGCUGUAAGCAAUUUAAACUAAGUACAGAGACCACUGUAAUUUACAGUGAAGCCUUUCCUGAUAAGCUGCUUUUGCUACUAUUCUAGUAUCACACACUAUGUGUGUAACAUAGAUUUUUAAAGUACAGUAUAUCUAUCUAUGAUGUAUGAUAUCAAAAUGUCACUGCUGUAAAUUGUUAAUAAAGGACCUUACAAAUUGAUCCAAGGA